GAAAUGCAGGUGAUGGUGUAGCCAUCACUAGUUUUGGAACAGCUGAGCAGGAAUAUGAUUCCCCUGAAACACCGCGGCUUCCACCGAUUAGGACACAAGAUUCUUCUGCUGAGCCACUGAACUCAGUUGCAUCAUCCUUCCAGCUAAUGUCUAAAUCAGUUGAAGGAGUUCUAGAUGAGAAGUAUCCCGCAUUCAAAGAUAGGCAUAAGCUGGCAGUAGAGCGAGAGAAGCAAAUUAAGGUAAAGGCUGAGCAGGCAAGAGCAGCAAGGUUUGAGAAGUCCUUGCCCCCAAAACUUUCUCAAUUGAAAGAGAAGCGAGUGUCAGUAUCAGUAUCAGCGCCAGUGGUCUCUGCCUCUGGUGACUCAGUUGAGCAGUCCGGUGAUAGCAAAACUGACUCUCAAGCAGUGAGCAAAAUGAAACCAAUUAAUAUUGAGAAAAGACCUCCUAGGACUCCUCGUCCACCACCUACACGAUCAGCAGGUGGUCCCGCUCCAGCUGGUAAUAAUGUUACAGGUGGGGCACCUGGUGGUCCACCCCCACCACCUCCUCCGCCUGGUGCUCCACCACCACCGCCACCACCUGGUGGAGGAGCUCCUAGACCACCUCCUCCUCCUGGAUCUCUAAUGAAAGAAGGAGCUGGAGGUGAUAAGGUCCAUCGCGCUCCUGAAUUAGUUGAAUUCUACCAAUCAUUGAUGAAACGCGAGGCAAAGAAGGAUACAUCAUCACCUUUGAUAUCCUCUACUUCAAACACAUCAGAUGCAAGAAGCAACAUGAUCGGUGAGAUAGAGAACAGAUCCACAUUCC
rnacentral:lncRNA from 1 species